rnacentral:rRNA from 1 species
UACGGAGGGUGCGAGCGUUGUUCGGAAUCACUGGGCGUAAAGGGCGCGUAGGCGGCCUUGCAAGUCGGUUGGUGAAAGCCCGGGGCUCAACCCCGGAGGUGCGGCCGAGACUGCAGGGCUGGAGGCCGGAAGAGGAGGGUGGAAUACCCAGUGUAGAGGUGAAAUUCGUAGAUAUUGAGUGGAACACCGGUGGCGAAAGCGGCUCUCUGGUCCGGACCUGACGCUGAGGCGCGAAAGCGUGGGGAGCAAACAGG